GCGGAGGAAAAGAAACCAACAGGGAUUGCCUUAGUAACGGCGAGUGAAGCGGCAACAGCUCAAAUUUGAAAUCUGGACCUAGUCCCGAGUUGUAAUUUGCAGAGGAUGAUUUUGGCGCGGUGCCUUCCAAGUUCCCUGGGACGGGACGCCGGAGAGGGUGAGAGCCCCGUCAGGUUGGACACCAAGCCUAUGUAAAUCUCCUUCGACGAGUCGAGUAGUUUGGGAAUGCUGCUCUAAAUGGGAGGUAUAUGUCUUCUAAAGCUAAAUACCGGCCAGAGACCGAUAGCGCACAAGUAGAGUGAUCGAAAGAUGAAAAGCACUUUGGAAAGAGAGUUAAACAGCACGUGAAAUUGUUAAAAGGGAAGCGUUUACGACCAGACUUGUGCCGGUUGAUCAUCCAGCGUUCUCGCUGGUGCACUCUGCCGGCCCAGGCCAGCAUCAGUUCGCCGCGGGGGAUAAAGGCGUCGGGAAUGUGGCUCCCCCGGGAGUGUUAUAGCCCUUCGCGCAAUACCCUGAGGCGGACUGAGGUUCGCGCAUUCGCAAGGAUGCUGGCGUAAUGGUCGUCAACGACCCGUCUUGAAACACGGACCAAGGAGUCGUCUUCGUAUGCGAGUGUUCGGGUGUAAAACCCCUACGCGUAAUGAAAGUGAACGCAGGUGAGAGCUUCGGCGCAUCAUCGACCGAUCCUGAUGUUCUCGGAUGGAUUUGAGUAAGAGCAUACGGGGCCGGACCCGAAAGAAGGUGAACUAUGCCUGUAUAGGGUGAAGCCAGAGGAAACUCUGGUGGAGGCUCGCAGCGGUUCUGACGUGCAAAUCGAUCGUCAAAUAUGGGCAU
rnacentral:sRNA from 1 species